AUUUAUAUAGUUUAAUAUAAAACAUUAUAUUUUCAAUAUAAAAAUAAAAUUCAUUUUAUAAAUA
rnacentral:tRNA from 1 species